UAAAUAUGGAUGCUUAUCAGGUACUGUGUAAGAAAAAUUCGUCACUUUCUCCUGAUUGCUGUGAUGACAUCAAAACAGAAGUUAAAUCAUAUGAAAGGUCGUAUGCAUCAUUAUGCUUAAACAGAACUGACGUUAAGUUCCGUCAAUUCAUUGCAAGAUUUACAAAUCUUGGAGCCACUGGUCGCCACGGUCCAACAUCAAUUGGUCAAUUUUAUAAUGGUCAGGAUCACGAAAAAAUGGUAACCGUAUCAAAAGGUAUCCAGUAUUGGACAGUGCCUUACACAGGAACUUAUGAAAUUACUGCUGUCGGUGCAGUAGGGGGUUAUGAUAAUUAUGGCUCUGCUUAUUAAGGUCUUGGAGCUUACAUGAAAGGAGACUUUGAAA